AUCAGACACGGUGUCAGCCGCCGCGGUAAUACAGAGGGUGCAAGCGUUAAUCGGAAUUACUGGGCGUAAAGCGCGCGUAGGUGGUUUGUUAAGUUGGAUGUGAAAGCCCCGGGCUCAACCUGGGAACUGCAUUCAAAACUGACAAGCUAGAGUAUGGUAGAGGGUGGUGGAAUUUUCCUGUGUAGCGGUGAAAUGCGUAGAUAUAGGAAGAACACCAGUGGCGAAGGCGACCACCUGGGACUGAUACUGACACUGAGGUGACGAAAGCGUGGGGAGCAAACAGGAUUAGAUACCCUGGUAGUCCACGACCGUAAACGAUGUCAACUAGCCGUUGGGAGCCUUGAGCUCUUAGUGGCGCAGCUAACGCAUUAAGUUGACCGCCUGGGGAGUACGGCCG
rnacentral:rRNA from 1 species